UUUUUUCUUUUUUUUUCUUUCUUUGAGACAAGGUCUUUCUCUGUUGCCCAGGCUAAAGUAGAGCGGAACAAUCACGUCUCACUACAGCCUCAACCCACCCCCUUAACCCCAGGUCUCACGCCGUCCUCCUACCUCAGCCACCCUAGUAGCUGGGACUACAGGCAAGCUCUACCACAUGUAGCUUUAUUAUUAUUAUUAUUAUUAUUUUUAGUAGAGACGGGUUCUCACUAGGUUGCCCAGGCUGGUCUUGAACUCCUGGGCUCAAGCGAUCUACCUCCCUCAGCCGCCCCAAGUCCUGGGAUUACAGGCAUGAGCCAUGGCUCCCAGCCCAGCAUAGGCUUUGAUGUGGCUUUAGUGAAUAUCGUUCAACUAAACCACUGAGACAGCACAUAUCUUGAGCACCUACUGUGUGCCAGACCCUGGCCAGCUAUGAGAGUCACAGAGGAAGCCCCGCCCCCUCCACCCUGCUGGCUCUCCCAGUUCUGCAAGAGAGACAGGCCGAUCACAAACAAGGAGAACGCUGAGCUAAUGGAACCCAGGCCCUGUGAGGGCAAGAGGAGGUGCAUGCACCCCAUUCUGCCCAAAACAAGGGGGGGUGUCCCUAGAGCAGGUUAACUGAGCCAGGACCCGUGAGGCAGGACCUGCAGCGGGAAGUGAACUCCGGAGGCUCGCAGGACUUCUGGUCUUGGACUGUUCUGAAAAGGAUCGUGUUCUGAAAAGGACCAGCUCGUCAGUAUUUUAGGCUUUGCACACCCCGCAGUCCCAAAUGAAUGAGCUUCGGCUAGUGGCGAAUGACACUUUAUUUACAAAAACAUGUGAAGGGUGGAACUCCGCCCGUGGGUCGGAGCUGAUCCCUAUGGCGGGGUUGGCCGACCCUUCCACAGAUCAGUGGGUCCAGUUGCUUCAGGAAGAUCCCUCAGGCUGCAGUGGUGAGGAUGGAGGGGACGCAGGAAGGCCGUGGCGUCUGGAGACAGGAGGCCUCACUCAUCGCCCGAUGAAGGAACCGUGGCCUGAACCAGUGGUUCUCUGCUCAGGCUGUACCUGACAGUCACCCGGAGAGAUCUGAAACUGCCUCAUACCCCGGCCAUCCCAGCUAAUUACAUGUGAAUUUCUGCACGUGGGACUCCAGCACUGGAGAUUCUGAUAGUACCCCAGGAGUUCCCAAUGUCAGCCCACACUGAGAACCACUGGCAAAAUCUAAGGAAGUAGAGGCAGGAAUGUGGGAAGGAAACAAAUUUAGACAGUACCAUACUUAUGAUGGCGCCGCUUAACAAUUUGUUAUCAUUAUUAUUAUUAUUAUUAUUAUUAAUGUUAUUAUUUUGAGACAGGGUCUCAUUGUGUCACCCGAGCUGGAGUGCAGUGGCACAAUCUCGUCUCACUGCAACCUCUACUUCCCGGGUUCAAGUGAUUCUCCUGCCUCAGCAUCAGGAGAAACUGGGAUUUCAGGUGCCUGCCACCAAGCCCGGCUAAUUCUUGUAUUUUCGGUAGAGAAGGGGUUUCACCAUGUUGGUCACGCUGGUUUGAACUCCUGACCUCAAGUGAUCUGCCUGCCUCGGCCUCCCAAAGUGCUGGGACAACAGGCA
ensembl:lncRNA